AUUUUCACCAGGAGGUAUUACUGAGCCAUCGUGCCUGGGUCCUCUGCCCUCCUGUCUGUGCUGGAAGUCAGUGCUCCAUCCUCUGAACCCUCUGUUAUGAUUAUGCCUGGAUGGUCAUUGGGCCCCUGUUUUGUUUCUUGAAAUCAACAGUGGAAGCAAAGAUGUCCUGGGAGAGGGGAAUUCGUGCCCUUAGAAUAGCUGCAUGGAUGAAACAGAGGAUGAAAAAGCUUGAACACAAAUGUCUUGAUAAUAAACACAAAUGUGUUUAUUGCCAUGUAUUAAAGUGGGAUUUCUGCAAUUACAAUAAGAUGCUGCCAAAGAAGAAUGAUCUGUGGAAUACAAGUGAAUGCAGUGCUGAUGAGCAUCCCGAAGUCCCACAGGAGGUUAGAAAGAGCACAACUUGCAUUCUGCUUUUUACCUCUGUUUUUAUCUCACAGCUGAGAGGGGAUGACAGCAGGAGAAGCGAGGGGCUGAUGGAGGGCUUCUCUCUGCUGUAGGGUGUUCUUGCUGCUUGCUGAUUGCCUGUGUGGCUGCGUCCAGCCUGGAGGGCUGCAAAGAGAGUUUGCAUGUCACCGCGUGGUAAUUAUUUCUACUCCUCUCCCGCUUUUUCCUAAUUGAUUAUUGGUUCUCCCUGCAAAGUGAAAGUGAAACAGACAAAGGAGGCAUUUGUCUUUGUCUUGUCUGAGAUAUUCCCGACGGGCAGUGAAAGCAUUUCCACUGUCUGUUGGUGGAUUUUGCUCUCCCUCUCAACAAACUCUUCUGCACAUGAAAAAAAAGCUCCAUCUGAGCAGUUCUACUAACAAGCUUCUUGGCUGCUGGCUGGAUUAAGGCGAAGUUAGGCUUUGUCUGAUCUUAAUUAAUCCCAGGCAGUGCUUCUAUUUCUGCUGUUGGCCGGUCAAGAGAGGCGGGUGGAUAGCCAGUAUGCUCUGACUACAUCAUGCCGUGCCUGCUGCAUGAAGAUGUUACCUGUGCUGUAAACCUGUCACGUUAUUCUUUGGAGAAGGGAAUUCUUAUUUUCUAAUCCAUAUACUUACACAAAGCAGUUACUCCUCUUACAUGCGAAGUGCUUCAUAAUCUCAUCUUCAGCCUUCAAGCAUAAAAGCAGGAAAGUUAUCCUAUUCCAUACUUAACUACUUGUGAGUAUUGUUGGUACCAAAUAUGAUUACUACGUGGAAGAUUACCUUGCGGUUAUCUUUCUCUUGGAAUAAUGCAGGAAGAAUGUCAGAUACAAAAUGAUUUUGGAAGUUUUGAAGCAGCAUUUACUGCUACUUUAUACUGCGUGCGACUUCAGAC